CCUACGGGGGGCAGCAGUGGGGAAUAUUGGACAAUGGGGGCAACCCUGAUCCAGCCAUGCCGCGUGUGUGAAGAAGGCCCUCGGGUUGUAAAGCACUUUCAGUGAGGAAGAACGCCUGGUGGUUAAUACCCAUCAGGAAAGACAUCACUCACAGAAGAAGCACCGGCUAACUCCGUGCCAGCAGCCGCGGUAAUACGGAGGGUGCGAGCGUUAAUCGGAAUUACUGGGCGUAAAGCGCGCGUAGGUGGCUUGAUAAGCCGGUUGUGAAAGCCCCGGGCUCAACCUGGGAACGGCAUCCGGAACUGUCAAGCUAGAGUGCAGGAGAGGAAGGUAGAAUUCCCGGUGUAGCGGUGAAACGCGUAGAGCUCGGGAGGAAUACCAGUGGCGAAGGCGGCCUUCUGGACUGACACUGACACUGAGGUGCGAAAGCGUGGGUAGCAAACAGGAUUAGAUACCCUAGUAGUC
rnacentral:rRNA from 1 species